UAAACAGAACGAUGGAUGAACUUCUCUUCAUAAGAAGCUGGUUUGGGUCUUGAAAUGACUGAAGCUGUUCCCUUGUGCAAAGAAAGAGGGCUAGAUGAGAUUC